UACGAAGGGGGCUAGCGUUUCUCGGAAUGACUGGGCGUAAAGGGCGCGUAGGCGGCUUACAUAGUUAGGCGUGAAAUUCCUGGGCUCAACCUGGGGACUGCGUCUAAUACAUGUGGGCUUGAGUGUGAAAGAGGGUUGUGGAAUUUCCAGUGUAGAGGUGAAAUUCGUAGAUAUUGGAAAGAACACCGGUGGCGAAGGCGGCGACCUGGUUCAUUACUGACGCUGAGGCGCGAAAGCGUGGGGAGCAAACAGG
rnacentral:rRNA from 1 species